rnacentral:rRNA from 1 species
GACGUAGGUGGCGAACGUUAUCCGGAAUUAUUGGGCGUAAAGGGUGCGUAGGCGGCAUGAUAAGUUAUUGGCGGCAAAUCGAGGCUCAACCUCGUGGAAACUGAUAAUACUGUUUUGCUUGAGUACAGGAGAGGUUAACGGAACUCCAUGUGGAACGGUAAAAUGUGUAGAUAUCAGGAGGAACACCUAUUGCGAAGGCAGCUCGCUGGGACGUUACUGACGCUGAGACGCGAAAGCGUGGGGAGCAAACAGG